CCUACGGGAGGCAGCAGUGAGGAAUAUUGGUCAAUGGACGCAAGUCUGAACCAGCCAUGCCGCGUGCAGGAAGACGGCUCUAUGAGUUGUAAACUGCUUUUGUACGAGGGUAAACGCAGAUACGCGUGUCUGUCUGAAAGUAUCUUACGAAUAAGGAUCGGCUAACUCCGUGCCAGCAGCCGCGGUAAUACGGAGGAUCCAAGCGUUAUCCGGAUUUAUUGGGUUUAAAGGGUGCGUAGGCGGUCGGAUAAGUUAGAGGUGAAAUUCGGAGGCUCAACUUCGGAAUUGCCUUUGAUACUGUUCGGCUAGAGAGUAGUUGCGGUAGGCGGAAUGUAUGGUGUAGCGGUGAAAUGCUUAGAGAUCAUACAGAACACCGAUUGCGAAGGCAGCUUACCAAGCUACUUCUGACGUUGAGGCACGAAAGCGUGGGGAGCAAACAGGAUUAGAUACCCGAGUAGUC
rnacentral:rRNA from 1 species